AAUCAACGCUGGCGGCGUGCCUCAGACAUGCAAGUCGAACGAGAAGGCUCCUUCGGGAGCCGGACAGUGGCGCACGGGUGAGUAACACGUGGGUAAUUUACCUUCGGGUGGGGAACAACAGCCGGAAACGGCUGCUAAUACCGCAUAAUGCAGCGGCACCUAAUGGUGACAGUUGUUAAAGCGGGGAUCGCAAGACCUCGCGCCUGAAGAGAAGCCCGCGGCAGAUUAGGAGUUGGUGAGGUAAUGGCUCACCAAGCCUGCGAUCUGUAGCCGGCCUGAGAGGGCGGUCGGCCACACUGACACUGAACAACGGGUCAGACUCCUACGGGAGGCAGCAGUCGGGAAUUUUGGGCAAUGGGCGAAAGCCUGACCCAGCAACGCCGCGUGAAGGAUGAAGUUUUCGGAAUGUAAACUUCACAAGAUUGGGAAGAAUUAAAGUUUUGGAUAAUACCCAAAGCGAUGACGGUACCAUUUGUAAGCUCCGGCU
rnacentral:rRNA from 1 species